AGACCUUGGCAGAGAGCGCCCUGGGAAAUGCGGAUAUAGAAGGUCAGGAGAACAUCUCUCCUGGUUAUACAGCAUUCCAGGACUCCUCAUCUGUUUUUAAGAGGGAAAUCUGAGUUUUCAAGGAAAGCCGAAUACAGUUGCCAAGUUGCCAGUCAAAGAAACAAUGUCAACACCUGCUCAUAGAGAUGGAAUUCCUAACCCGGAAUAUUGCCCUUGAAUUACAACGAGAAAAAGAACACUUCUUAUUCCUGUAGCACCUCUUCAAGUGAGAUGGCAGACCACCUCAGGAUGGAAAUGUAUUUCUUCAUCCCCCUCUCUACUUCCCUGUGACCUCCUGCAAAUAAGGGAGAGACAAAGAGAAGAGCAGAAGAACAGAAGAAUGGAGUGGCAAAGAGAAGAGAAGGAGUGACUGAACAUUGACAAGACUUUGGUUGGGGAUGGUCAGAGAGGAGAUUAGCUGCUAGACGGCCACACUGCGGAGAAAGAUCAUUUUCCCACUCCAUCCCCCUUCCAGCUCCCCAUCCAUCUCACCAAGAGCCAGCUCCACCACUCAAUAAAACCUUACAUUCAUCUUUCAA
rnacentral:lncRNA from 1 species